GAGACGGCCCGCACAUCCAAGGACGGCAGCAGGCGCGGAACUUGCCCAAUGCGCUGCGCGCGAGGCAGCGACGGGGAGCGCGCGAGCGAGGCGGGCCCACAGCCCCCGCCGCGGAGCCGAGGGCAAGGUCUGGUGCCAGCAGCCGCGGUAAUUCCAGCUCGGCGAGCGUCGCGCGGCGCUGCUGCAGUUGAAACGCCCGUAGUUGGCCCCCCGCCGCCACGAGGAAACGGGAGCGCUCCAGGCAGGCCCGUUGGACCCGCCGCGUGGGACCGCGCAGCGGGCGCGGCGCGCCGCGGCAGCCCCGAGGAGAGCGGGCGGGGGCACCGGUACCGGCCGGGGACGGGUGAAACAGGAUGAUCCCGCCGAGACCGCCGGCCGCGCAGGCGCCUGCCAAGACCGCCUCUGUCAAUCAAGGGCGAAGGCCGGGGGCUAGAAGGCGAUCAGACACCACCGUAUUCCCGGCCGUAAACGGAGCCGCCCCGCGGCCGGCGCGCGCGUCCCGCCGGCCGCCCUGGGAAACCGGGAGGCUCCGGGCUCUGGGGGGAGA
rnacentral:rRNA from 1 species